rnacentral:lncRNA from 1 species
AUAAACACUUUCUUCUAUUUGUAUUGCAGGUGAUUCUCCGUGCGCCAGUCGAGCCGCAUUCAUGCACGAACUACUUUUAGUUAUGUAAAA